AGUAAAAACUGUGAUUAAACCAUCAUGUGGGUGGAAAAAAAUCGUUUACUCCUUUAAAAACCUUCAUGUCCACCCACAGACCAAUCACUGGCUGAUCUCCUUUCUUCUGUCAAAACGAUGUCGGUUUCGGAGCUUGCUUGCACUUACGCUUGUCUGAUCCUCCAUGAUGAUGGCAUCCCCAUCAGUGCAGAGAAGAUUUUACAAUUGGUGAAAGCAGCCAAUGUUACUGUUGAUUCUUACUGGCCUGGUUGUUUGCGACAUAGCUGA